rnacentral:misc_RNA from 1 species
GGAAGGAUCAUUAACACGUAUCCACGUUAUCAACCAAUAGUGCACCACGUUUUCACGCUCCCUUUGCAGAGAAUGAGUUGGAUAAUUCGUAUUGAUGUUUGUUCGGGGCUGCUUCGGCGUCCUUCAAUAUGUCUUCACACAUGCGGGUCAUUCCGCAGACUACUGAAUCUCUGUUCUAAAAGGCUAGUCCUUUCCGCUUUGGCCGCUGAACAAUGUCGUGGCGGACUGGACAAAUUAUAAAUUAACCCAUUUCACCCCCUAUUUUGCUAGUUGACUUUUUAAUAUGUUGUUCCAAAUUUUUUCAUAUUCAUUUAUGGAUUUGGUUCACACGUUUAAUUAUUUGAACGUUAAAAAAUACAACUCUUAGCAAUGGAUAUCUUGGUUCUCGCAACGAUGAAGAACGCAGCGAAAUGCGAUACGUAAUGCGAAUUGCAGAAUUCAGUGAAUCAUCAAAUCUUUGAACGCAAAUUGCGCUCUUGGGUAGCCCUAGGAGCACGCCUCUCUCAGUAUCGGUUCAACAACCUCUCAGCAGCGUGUUUGCAAAAAUGCGUGUUGGCUGGAUAAUGAGAGUCUGAGUGCUGAAGGAAACUUCGCCGCGCUCAGUCUCUUGAAAUUCAUGGAGUAAACUAUAGCUAACGAUCAGCUCUGCUUGUUGGCAGAUAGUCAGCCUCUUACUGUUGUUCGGAUAGUGACGUGAAUAUUGGCCUUUAUUGGUCUUCCUUUUUACGUGUAACUGUCUGUUCAAUACUUUAAAAGUUGGAGAUUUGGCGAACGUUCGACCUAGUUUUGAUAGUUUUACGUGAGAACACCAUAUGAUGACUUGUAAUAUUUAAUCAUUACGAGGAGUCUGAAUUUUGAUCUGAGAUGAAGCGAUACAACCCCCUGAAUUUAAGCAUAUUAAUAAGGGGAGGAAAAGAAACUAACAAGGAUUCCCCCAGUAACGGCGAGUGAAGCGGGAAGAGCUCAAUUUGAAAAUCGAAUACCUAAACGGGUCUUCGAGUUGUAGCCUAGAGACGUACUAUCAGCUGAAACCUGGGUAUAAGUUCUUUGGAAUGAGGCAUCAUAGAGGGUGAGAAUCCCGUUUAUGACCCAAAGCUUUCAGCGUACGAUGUAUGUUCAUCGAGUCGAGUUGUUUGGGAUUGCAGCUCUAAAUGGGUGGUAAGUUUCAUCUAAAGCUAAAUAAUGGCGAGAGACCGAUAGCGAACAAGUACCGUGAGGGAAAGAUGAAAAGAACUUUGAAAAGAGAGUUAAAAGUACUUGAAAUUGCUAAGAGGGAAGCGCUAAAAACCAGUGAUACGCUGAGUCAAUCGCUUUCGGCCCCACUAGUUGGUGUAAGUAAUGGGCAACCUUGCUUGCGCCACCGAAAGGGUGGUCGGAGGUUUAUGAUUUAGUGUCAGUCAAGAUCAAUUCGGAUUGUGGGAGAAGGCAGCGAGAAAGGUAGGAGAGCAAUCUCUGUUAUAUUCUUGCUGCUCUACCUCGGCCUGGAUUGAGGAAGUAAUGGUGCGCCGCUUGCGGCUUGGUCCUGCGUUUCUGUUGUCCUAUUCGCUCUGAUAGCAAUGCUAUCUCUGUGGAGACAGGCGAUACUGGGCGUAGUGAUUCUAUGUGCCAUCACGAUCUUGUACGAAAUGGUUUUUAUCGACCCGUCUUGAAACACGGACCAAGGAGUCUAACAUCUAUGCGAGUAUUUGGGUGCAAAACCCUGAUGCGUAAUGAAAGUAAAGGCAGACUUGUUCUGCUGAGGUAGGAAUCCCGCAAGGGAGGCACUAUCGACCGAUCAUCACUUGUGAAAGAUUUGAGUAAGAGCAUAUCUGUUGGGACACGAAAGAUGGUGAUCUAUGCCUGAACAGGGUGAAGCCAGGGGAAACUCUGGUGGAGGCUCGUAGCGAUACUGACGUGCAAAUCGUUCGUCUGAUUUGGGUAUAGGGGCGAAAGACUAAUCGAACCAUCUAGUAGCUGGUUCCCUC